ensembl:lncRNA CASC19 cancer susceptibility 19
AAACGAACACGAAAUUCAAAGGGAAACAGGAGCAAUCAUCAUUACCAGCUGCCGUGUUAAGCAUUGCGAAAACGCUCACGAUUCACAGAAAAAUCCAUGCUGUUCUUUGAAGGCAUUCAAGCCUUAAUAGCUAGCUGGAUGAAUGUUUAACUUCUAGGCCAGGCACUACUCUGUCCCAACAAUAAGCCCUGUACAUUGGGAAAGGUGCCGAGACAUGAACUUUGGUCUUCUCUGCAAUCCAUCUGGAGCAUUCACUGACAACAUCGACUUUGAAGUUGCACUGACCUGGCCAGCCCUGCCACUUACCAGGUUGGCAUCUGGCAUCUUUCUUGACAUAUGUAGCAGUUGCUUUUUGACAGCUUGCUUCUUCAGUGAAUGAAUAAAUUAAUAAAGAGAAAUGUGAUGUUCAGUGAUCCAUUUUGCAGAUUGAGCCUCAUAUUUCAUAUCUGCCCCUGGCCUAAUGGUUGUUUACAGAAUGAGCUCAAUGAAUAUUGUUAAAUAACACUAACAAAGUUGACCUUAGAAUUGGAGUGCCUGGGUUAGAACCCUGCUGGUACCACCUGCUUACUGCAUGCUUCUGAUGUGAGUUCAGGAGAAGACACUGGCAAGGACAGCAAAGAACAGGAGAACACUCUAGCUUCCCUGAUAGCAUUCAAGGUGCUGUCCAAACUGACUGUGAUGGCACCCUCCAGACAGACAGCGAUGCCACAUGUUCAAGAUGGCAGAAUCACUAUCAGCUUCAAUUCCUGAAUGACUGCAGAGCAAAAUUUCUUACCUGCAACAUACACUCUAUUUUCAGCCUCCCUGGACUGUUACAUAAUGAUACAUAAAAAUAUUUCUUGUGUUGAGGCAUCCCAAAUUUGAUUUAUUUGUCAUCACAGUCUAUCCUAUGAAUAUAUUUCUGAUCCAAAUAAUGCUAGAUUCAUGAGAGUUUAUAGUCCAGAGAUUUUUUUUUUUUUUUUGAGACAGAAUCUGUCUCCCAGGCUGGGGUGCAGUGGCAUAAUCUUAGCUCACUGCAACCUCUGCCUCCCGGGCUCAAGUGAUCCUCCCUCCUUAGCCUCCAUGAGUAGCUGGGACCACAGGUGUGCACCACCACACCCCGCUAAUUAUUUUGUAUUUUUUGCAGAGGGGGGUUUCACCACAUUGCCCAAGCUGGUCUCAAACUCCUAGACUUAAGGGAUCUGCCUGCCUUGGCCUCCCAAAAUGCUGAAAUUACACUUGUUAGCCAUAGUAAUAGUUCCUAGCCAUAGUCCGGAGAUAUUUUAAAAACUUUAGUGUGAGUUAUUUCUCUUUGCUAUAAUUCUCUCAUGCAUUUUGAAAACCUUUUCUGCCAUACAGUGGUUUUUGGGAAGUCCUUUUGGACAGACAUAUCACAGGAUGGAGAAACUAAAAAGAGAGAAUGCAUUAAAGAAAAAAUAGUACUUCGUAUUUCAGAAAUUACAAAAGGGUGUCAUGCCCCACAGCAUGGUGGGCAGUCAUUUGUAACCCACAGAACAUUGAGUUUCUAAAAUUUGAGUGUUUUUAACUUACGAAGGCCAACUUUACUGAUGAAGUGAUUACCCCAAAUAUGUGAAAUCCAUAUUUCAAGUACAAUAGUAGGAAAUUGGAAAUGGGUAGGUAUAUUUCUGACUGUCAAAGAGUACAAAGUAAAGAGGGGCCCCUGAAGAGUGACACUACUGGAAAAACAGAAGAAAAAAAAAA